GAGCACUGCGCCUGCGCGGGGCGCCGGACACUGGGCGGGACUUCUCGGCUGACGGCCUGCGUGCACUGCGCUUGCGCGGGUUGAGGGCGUUGGCUCAGGCUCCUGGAAAAGACCGUCGGCCCCUCAGCGCUGGCGGUGUGGACGCGGAACUCAGCGGAGAAACGCGGCUGAGAAAUGGAGAAGAAAAUGAAAUAAAGCAGCAGUUAUGAGGCAGAGCCUAAGAGAACUAUGGCAACAUCAGGUGACUGUCCCAGAAGUGAAUCGCAGGAAGAAGAGCCUGCUGAGUACAGUGAGGCCGGUCUCCUGCAGGAGGGAGUCCAGCCAGAGGAGUUCGUGGCCAUCGCAGACUAUGCUGCCACUGAUGAGACCCAGCUCAGUUUUUUGAGAGGAGAAAAAAUUCUUAUCCUGAGACAAACCACUGCUGAUUGGUGGUGGGGCGAGCGUGCGGGCUACUGUGGGUACAUUCCGGCAAACCAUGUGGGGAAGGAGAUGGAUGAGUACGACCCUGAAGACACGUGGCAGGAUGAAGAGUACUUCGGCAGCUACGGAACUCUGAAACUCCACUUGGAAAUGUUGGCAGACCAGCCACGAACAACUAAAUACCACAGUGUCAUCCUGCAGAAUAAAGAAUCCCUAACGGAUAAAGUCAUCCUGGACGUGGGCUGUGGGACUGGGAUCAUCAGUCUCUUCUGUGCACACUAUGCGCGGCCUAAAGCGGUGUAUGCGGUGGAGGCCAGUGAGAUGGCACAGCACACGGGGCAGCUGGUCCUGCAGAAUGGCUUUGCCGACAUCAUCACCGUGUUCCAACAGAAGGUGGAGGACGUGGUACUGCCCGAGAAGGUGGAUGUGCUGGUGUCCGAGUGGAUGGGGACCUGCCUGCUGUUUGAGUUCAUGAUCGAGUCCAUCCUGUAUGCCCGGGAUGCCUGGCUGAAGGAGGACGGGGUCAUUUGGCCCACCAUGGCCGCAUUGCACCUUGUGCCCUGCAGUGCUGAUAAGGACUAUCGUAGCAAGGUGCUCUUCUGGGACAACGCGUACGAGUUCAACCUCAGCGCUCUCAAAUCUUUAGCAAUUAAGGAGUUUUUUUCAAAGCCCAAGUAUAACCACAUUUUGAAACCAGAAGACUGUCUCUCUGAACCGUGCACUAUAUUGCAGUUGGACAUGAGAACCGUGCAAAUUUCUGAUUUAGAGACCCUGAGGGGCGACCUGCGCUUCGACAUCAGGAAGGCAGGGACCCUGCACGGCUUCACCGCCUGGUUUAGCGUCCACUUCCAGAGCCUGCAGGAGGGGCAGCCGCCGCAGGUGCUCAGCACCGGGCCCUUCCACCCCAUCACACACUGGAAGCAGACGCUGUUUAUGAUGGACGACCCAGUCCCUGUCCAUACUGGAGACGUGGUCACGGGUUCAGUUGUGUUGCAGAGAAACCCAGUGUGGAGAAGGCACAUGUCGGUGGCUCUGAGCUGGGCUGUCACUUCCAGGCAAGACCCCACAUCUCAAAAAGCCUCUGUGGCUUCCCAGGCAGCAGUUCAUCUAGGUGUGUUGUCCGUGAUGUGUGUUCCGACUGGCAGCCUUUGGGUCCGUGCAUGAAUUCAUGUGUAGCUCGCCCAGCUCACUUGGGCUUCCUGUCUCAGAGGCCGCUGAAAAUGGAAUGUUCUUCUUUGGACUCAGGAUUAAUGUGGUUGGAGAAAAAGUGUUCCCAAUCUGGAGAUGACAGUUGAGGCUUUAUUUGGAAAGCCGUGUGCGUCUCCUGAGGGGUGACGAACACAAGCAACCCAAGAUGCACCUGGCUGCUGCACACUCCUUCGAAGUCGGUGAACGUUCGUGCCACACUGACCCCUCCCCAGCCUGGCAGGUGACGUCAGGGCCCUUCACAGACAAACACGCUUGGGCUCGGCAGGAGCUGCCGUGGCCACCCCCGCUGCCCAGUGUCUGCCCUCUAGAAGUAGGCUGUGUUUCUAGGUGUUCACCCGUGGUGUCCACAGUGCUGACCCGUGGCUAGGUCAGAGCUCCAUGUUCCUAAGCUAGGUCUAGGUCCACACUCCUAGAACGCCCGCAUAUCAGCCUGUGUACCCUGUGACAGUGACUGUUCCCGCCUCCUGUGUUAGUGGUGCCCUUCCUGCCAUCGCUCAUCCGCUCGUGUGGGAUGUAGGAUUGCACAGGGCUGUGCCAGUGCUGUGUAGGGAACACCGCCCUGGCUCAGCGCGGGAGCUGAGGUGGCGAUGCACGCGAUGGGACUUUGCAUGGGAUAGUUUUGUAGACGUCUUCCAAAUAAAUUAUGUGUUGGCGCAUUGCACAUGCUCAAUAAAUAUUUUUAAAUGAGUGAACGUCAUUGUGUAUCCUGUUUUACGCAUAUGUGUUAUUUUUUGUAAUUACAGGAUCAUACUAUAUGCAUUGCUUUGUAACUUUUUCUCAGUAUUGUGAAAAAACUUCCAUAUCAGUAGAUACAUUUUUUUGUGUGUUUUGAUUUUUAUUAAAUUUUAUUGAAAUAUAGGCUGAGUGCAGUGGCUCACCUCUGUAAUCCCAACAUUUUGAGAGGUUAAGGUGGGAUGAUUCCUUGAGCUCAGGAGUUCAAGACCACCCUGGGCAACAUAGUGAGAUCCUAUCUCUACAAAAUACAAAAAUUAGCUGGGCAUGGUGGCAUGUGCUUGUAGUCCCAGCUACUCGGGAGGCUGAGGUGGGAGGAUCACUUGAGCCUAGGCGGUUGAGGCUGCAGUGAUCUAGGAUCGCACUGCCGUACUCCAGCCUGGGUGACAGAGCAAGACCCUGUCUCAAAACCCAAAAAACAAAACUGAAAUAUCAAAUAUAUAUUGAAAACAGCACUGGCCGUGGGUACCUAGAUGAUGGUAUUUUAUAAAGUGGAUGCACAUGUAACCAGCCUCCAGUCCAGGACACGCUACUGACUCCCUGAUUCCCCUUCCGCUCAGUGCCCACCCUCUCGAGGGUGGCGUCCUGACUUGUAACUGUCGAUUACUCUUGCCUGAAUGGAAUUGUACACAUGUUCUUUUGUGUCUGCCUUCUUUAAUUAAACAUUGUGAGACUCAUCUAUGA